GAUGAACGCUGGCGGCGUGCCUAAUACAUGCAAGUCGAGCGAACAGACGAGGAGCUUGCUCCUCUGACGUUAGCGGCGGACGGGUGAGUAACACGUGGAUAACCUACCUAUAAGACUGGGAUAACUUCGGGAAACCGGAGCUAAUACCGGAUAAUAUAUUGAACCGCAUGGUUCAAUAGUGAAAGACGGUUUUGCUGUCACUUAUAGAUGGAUCCGCGCCGCAUUAGCUAGUUGGUAAGGUAACGGCUUACCAAGGCAACGAUGCGUAGCCGACCUGAGAGGGUGAUCGGCCACACUGGAACUGAGACACGGUCCAGACUCCUACGGGGGGCAGCAGUAGGGAAUCUUCCGCAAUGGGCGAAAGCCUGGCGGAGCAACGCCGCGUGAGUGAUGAAGGUCUUCGGAUCGUAAAACUCUGUUAUUAGGGAAGAACAAAUGUGUAAGUAACUAUGCACGUCUUGACGGUACCUAAUCAGAAAGCCACGGCUAACUACGUG
rnacentral:rRNA from 1 species